CAUGCAUGAUCUGUCUUUUGACUUGGAUAGAACCUUUUUAAAAGGUAGACCCGUGUAUUCAUUUAUGUUGUCUUCCCAUCGCUUUCGCAAAUACCUGGGGAAUUUUUAAAGCAGUUUUCGCAUGAGUGACUUCACGAUUUCGCAGUAUUUUUAGACCGAAAUUUACUUCCUUGUUAAAUAAAACAGCAUAGCUUUGUAGUUAAAUAAAUAGGCUUCAAGCUACUUGGAUGUUAAAUUAUGGACGUAUUAUCACAUCUACUGAAGAAAAACUCAACUGUAGUAUGUUUCAAACUCUAGGAGUGAAUCAAAAGUAUGGAUUACAAAGUGUGUUUAUAUCUGUGCGCUCUAAUGUUUCAAUAUAACUUUGAAACUGGAUCUUGCGAAAAGAAAGAUUGGAAAGUAUUUUCAUGCAACAAAAAGAGCGAUACAGAGAAGAUGAAGAAUUACUUCUGUUCUUCACCAAGUAAUCAACAAAUGCAAUCUGCUUUGACAAUUGAAUGCCCCAUGUCUUGUUGUUUAGAAAAUAUUACAACUUUAAAUUUAAAUCUAGAUAACAAUACUUGUGAAUUUAAAAUCAACACAAAUAAAACGAAAUGUGAAGACGAUUGUUGUAAACGUUUUGAAGUUAAUGUGACUGGUACAUUUAAGGAAACCUCAAAUAUAUUCAUUUGUGAUCUUGAUGACGAAAAUUUGACUAUUAC